rnacentral:rRNA from 1 species
GACGAACGCUGGCGGCGUGCUUAACACAUGCAAGUCGAGCGGUAAGGCCCUUUCGGGGGUACGACGAGCGGCGAACGGGUGAGUAACACGUGGGUGACCUGCCCUCAGCUCUGGGAUAAGCCUGGGAAACCGGGGUCUAAUACCGGAUAUGACUCCAUGACGCAUGUUGUGGGGUGGAAAGCCUUGUGCGGCUGAGGAUGGGCCCGCGGCCUAUCAGCUUGUUGGUGGGGUGAUGGCCUACCAAGGCGACGACGGGUAGCCGGCCUGAGAGGGCGACCGGCCACACUGGGACUGAGACACGGCCCAGACUCCUACGGGAGGCAGCAGUGGGGAAUCUUGCGCAAUGGGCGAAAGCCUGACGCAGCGACGCCGCGUGAGGGAUGACGGCCUCGG